CCCAUCAGCGAAGAUGAGCUCAUCUCCUUCAUCAUCGCCGGCCUCGACAUGGAAUAUCAGCCCAUCAUAUCCGCUCUUGACGUGCGUGUUGAUCCUGUCUCCACCGAUGAACUCUUUGGCAUGAUCUCCAACUUUGAUC
rnacentral:snoRNA from 1 species